UACCCGCUGAAUUUAAGCAUAUUAUUAAGCGGAGGAAAAGAAACUAACCAGGGAUUCCCCCAGUAAGGGCGACUGAAACGGGAAGUGCUCAGGAUGUGAAUCUGCGUUAUGCGCCGAAUUGUGGUCUGUAGACAGUAACGUUACCUGUUGGGCCAAGUCCCUUGGAAAAGGGCAGCUGAGAGGGUGAGACUCCCGUCCGCCUGACAGGAUGAGUUGCUAGUCCAAGAGUCGAGUUGUUUGGGAUUGCAGCUCAAAGUAGGUGGUAAAUUUCAUCUAAAGCUAAAUAUUGGUGGGAGACCGAUAGCGUACAAGUACCGUGAGGGAAAGAUGCAAAGAACUUUGAAAAGAGAGUUAAAGAGUACCUGAAAUUGCUGAAACGGAAGCGAAGGAAACCAGUGGUAUGCCUGGUCAUAUUUCCCUGGCCGCUUGCGGCUUGGGCGCUGUGUCCGGUUUUUGUUGUGUUUGGUUGAAACUUGCGGAAGAGCGUCGGGGGAGUUGACCCUGACUGCUAGCGUUGGUUUGGACUGAGCAGGACGAAAUGKUUYUCUUUCCCCCGUCYUGAAACACGGACCAAGGAGUCUAACAUAUGUGCGAGUACAGGAGUGGCAAACUCCCGUGCGUAAUGAAAGUGACAGUGGUUKGAAUUUUGCACAAUCCGCCGGCCUCAAUCCCUCGGGAGAACGGUCUGAGUGUGAGCAUACAUGUUGGGACCCGAAAGAUGGUGAACUAUGCCUGAAUAGGGUGAAGCCAGGGGAAACUCUGGUGGAGGCUCGUAGCGAUUCUGACGUGCAAAUCGAUCGUCAAAUUGGUAUAGGCGCGAAAGACUAAUCNAACCAUCUAGUANCUGGUUCCCUCCNAAA
rnacentral:rRNA from 1 species